AUUGAACGCUGGCGGCAUGCCUUACACAUGCAAGUCGAACGGUAACAGGUCUUCGGAUGCUGACGAGUGGCGAACGGGUGAGUAAUACAUCGGAACGUGCCUAGUAGUGGGGGAUAACUACUCGAAAGAGUGGCUAAUACCGCAUGAGAUCUACGGAUGAAAGCAGGGGAUCGCAAGACCUUGUGCUACUAGAGCGGCCGAUGGCAGAUUAGGUAGUUGGUGGGAUAAAAGCUUACCAAGCCGACGAUCUGUAGCUGGUCUGAGAGGACGAUCAGCGAAACUGGGACUGAGACACGGCCCAGACUCCUACGGGAGGCAGCAGUGGGGAAUUUUGGACAAUGGGCGCAAGCCUGAUCCAGCAAUGCGGCGUGCAGGAUGAAGGCCUUCGGGUUGUAAACUGCUUUUGUACGGAACGAAAAGCCCCGGGUUAAUACCCUGGGGUCAUGACGGUACCGUAAGAAUAAGCACCGGCUAACUACGUGCCAGCAGCCGCCGUAA
rnacentral:rRNA from 1 species